UGCGUCAUGACUUACAGUAAGACAGAAAACAAAAUGGGGACAGGUUUAGUUCGCCUUACUGUUUCUCUGGAUGAACUUUCCGUCUAGGGUCAACUCAAGCAACCUACAAAGAAGGGGAAGCAAACUGGAGCAGUUCCUGUGAUGUUACUUCCAAUGAAGCUGUGAGGUACAUCCUCUGCGAUGGUUCGUCCAGGAUACCCGAGCUCAGAGAAAGAAGCGGAUAUGAAGUAGGAAGUCCACUCAAACAUCGCCAUUGGUAAGACACUUUACCUUUACAUUACGUUCCGUGAAAGAAAG